AUGUGGAUUUGGCAGCAUAUGCACUAAAACUGGAAUGAUACAAAGAUUAACAUGACCCCUGUGAAAGGAUGGCAUUCCUAUUUGUGAAGCAUUCCUAUUUUUU
ensembl:snRNA U6 U6 spliceosomal RNA